rnacentral:lncRNA from 1 species
CCCAACUCGCCCCCACUCUCACCCGCCGGUUUCAUACACACACACACACACACACACACACACACACACACACACACACACACACACACACGUAAAAGAUGCAACCACAGUAGCAUAAGUGUGUGUGUGUGUGUGUGUGUGUGUGUGUGUGUGUUGCAUGUACCGAGAGGAAAUGAAGUGGGCAAAGAAGGGAGGAAAUCAAUCUUUUUUGUUUGUCUAUUUCUCCUUCAAAUGAUCGUUUAGCAAAACGUCCAAAAUUCUCUACUGAUAAUUAGAAUGCAUUGGAGAAGCAAUUAUGGGAAGAAGGGGAUAGACAAGAUUCUUUGACUUUCGACAAGUUAUUAUUAUUCUUUUUCUCCCAGAGGACUGGUAACAUAACACCAAAAUACACAGGUACUUAAAAUUAGCCUCUUGCUGUUCAGAUCGUGACAUUCUCUAUCCCUCCGCCCCCCAAACAUACACAACUCAACUAAUUCUAGCUGUCCAGUUUCGCAUGUCGGAUCUUUUUUGUGCGUGUGUGUGGUUCUUAUGUAUGUAUGUGUGUAUUUCCCACGGUCGCCUAGGACCCAGGAAGGAAGAACACGCGCACACACACACACACACACACACACACACACACACAGACACACAGUCUUUUUUUUCCUUCAUCUACCACCACCAACCACCACCACCACCACCACCACCACUGCCACCACCGCCGCUGCCACUGACACCACCAAACCGCCGCAACCUAGAGUCCCCGGGAGCUCGGGGAGAUGCGGGACCACCCACUGGAGGGGAAGGAGAGAGAAGCCCUCUCGCGCCCUCCCCCUGCUCCCGAGCGCCUCUUUCCGAGCCAGCGCACAGACUGCCAGCACCAAACCAGAGCCACCCACCGGAAUGGGCAGCACCUCGAAGGCGGCUGCGGCGACGGCAGCGGUGGCCACUCUCUCCUGACUCCGGCAGUAUCUGAGCUGCAGGAUUGUGGGCUCACGCAGGAGCGGGAGGCGCAUUAAGUUGGCUGGUGCGAUUUCCCUUCCCCCUCUUCCCACCUUUUGAACUUGUUGCUCCUGCCGGGUCCCCCUUCAGCCAACCUUCUACCGCUCUUCUAGCCCCCUCCCCUCUACCCCGCCUCCUGAUGCCCGUGGGCUCUUGAAGCGUAGAAGGGAGAAGACAGGCAAGCAGGCAGAGGGAGGCAUGGGGGAAGGGGAAGAGCACCGCACGGCUGGAGCUUUUCGGCUGCUUCUUCCCCAGUGGAGCUGAGUCGGCGGCUCGGGAGAUUCUCGCUUUGCCCAGUCUCUCAUUCUGGAUGCACGGAUAAAAGAAUAAAGUCUCUAUGCAACUCA